UUAUCAAAAACAUCGCCUCUUGCUAACAAAGGAAGUACUAGAGGUCCCGCCUGCCCUGUGACCACAAAGUUUAACGGCCGCGGUAUCCUGACCGUGCGAAGGUAGCGUAAUCAUUUGUCUUUUAAAUAGAGACCUGUAUGAAUGGCAUAACGAGGGUUUAACUGUCUCCUUCCCCUAGUCAAUGAAAUUGAUCUGCCCGUGCAGAAGCGGACAUAAACACAUAAGACGAGAAGACCCUAUGGAGCUUUAGACAAAAGAUCAAACAUGUAAAGAAACUAAACCAACCAAAAGGAACACGAAGGCCACAAAACCCAACGUAAACUGAUCUAAAUGUCUUCGGUUGGGGCGACCAUGGGGGAAAGAAAAGCCCCCACGAGGAACAGGGACAACCCCUAAACUAAGAGAGACACCUCUAAGCAACAGAAAAUCUGACCAAAAUGACCCAGGAUACUAAUCCUGAUCAACGAACCAAGUUACCCUAGGGAUAACAGCGCAAUCCUUUCCCAGAGUCCAUAUCGACGAAAGGGUUUACGACCUCGAUGUUGGAUCAGGACAUCCUAAUGGUGCAGCCGCUAUUAAGGGUUCGUUUGUUCAACGAUUAAUAGUCCUACGUGAUCUGAGUUCA
rnacentral:rRNA from 1 species